rnacentral:rRNA from 1 species
CCUACGUGAUGCAGCCGUGAGGCAUAUUGGUCAAUGGGCGAGAGCCUGAACCAGCCAAGUCGCGUGAGGGAGUACUGCCCUAUGGGUUGUACACCUCUUUUGUCGGGGAGCAAAAGCCGGACGUGUCCGGCUGUGAGAGUACCCGAAGACAAAGCAUCGGCUAACUCCGUGCCAGCAGCCGCGGUAAUACGGAGGAUGCGAGCGUUAUCCGGAUUUAUGGGGUUUAAAGGUUGCGCAGGCGGAUUUUUAAGUCAGCGGUCAAAUCGUGGGGCUCAACCCCAUCCAGCCGUUGAACCUGGGGAUCUAGAGUGGGCGAGAGGUAGGCGGAAUGCGUGGGGUAGCGGUGAAAUGCAUAGAUAUCACGCAGAACCCCGAUUGCGAAGGCAGCAUACCGGUGCACAACUGACGCUCAGGCACGAAAGCGUGGGUAUCGAACAGGAUUAGAUACCCCAGUAGUC